rnacentral:rRNA from 1 species
CCUACGGGAGGCAGCAGUGAGGAAUAUUGGUCAAUGGACGAGAGUCUGAACCAGCCAAGUCGCGUGAAGGAUGACUGCCCUAUGGGUUGUAAACUUCUUUUAUAAAGGAAUAAAACGAGGCACGUGUGCCUUUUUGCAUGUACUUUAUGAAUAAGGAUCGGCUAACUCCGUGCCAGCCGCCGCGGUAAUACGGUGGAUCCGAGCGUUAUCCGGAUUUAUUGGGUUUAAAGGGAGCGGAGAUGGGUUGUUAAGUCAGUUGUGAAAGUUUGCGGCUCAAACGUAAAAUUGCAAUUGAUACUGGCAGUCUUGAGUGCAGGUGAGGUAGGCGGAAUUCGUGGUGUAGCGGUGAAAUGCUUAGAUAUCACGAAGAACCCCGAUUGCGAAGGCAGCUUACUAAACUGUGACUGACAUUGAUGCUCGAAAGUGUGGGUAUCAAACAGGAUUAGAUACCCGAGUAGUC